rnacentral:rRNA from 1 species
UGCAGUCGAACGAUGAACCUCACUUGUGGGGGGAUUAGUGGCGAACGGGUGAGUAACACGUGAGUAACCUGCCCUUAACUCUGGGAUAAGCCUGGGAAACUGGGUCUAAUACCGGAUAUGACUCCUCAUCGCAUGGUGGGGGGUGGAAAGCUUUUUGUGGUUUUGGAUGGACUCGCGGCCUAUCAGCUUGUUGGUGAGGUAAUGGCUUACCAAGGCGACGACGGGUAGCCGGCCUGAGAGGGUGACCGGCCACACUGGGACUGAGACACGGCCCAGACUCCUACGGGAGGCAGCAGUGGGGAAUAUUGCACAAUGGGCGCAAGCCUGAUGCAGCGACGCCGCGUGAGGGAUGACGGCCUUCGGGUUGUAAACCUCUUUCAGUAAGGAAGAAGCGAAAGUGACGGUACCUGCAGAAGAAGCGCCGGCUAACUACGUGCCAGCAGCCGCGGUAAUACGUAGGGCGCAAGCGUUAUCCGGAAAUAUUGGGCGUAAAGAGCUCGUAGGCGGUUUGUCGCGUCUGCCGUGAAAGUCCGGGGCUCAACUCCGGAUCUGCGGUGGGUACGGGCAGACUAGAGUGAUGUAGGGGAGACUGGAAUUCUGGUGUAGCGGUGAAAUGCGCAGAUAUCAGGAGGAACACCGAUGGCGAAGGCAGGUCUCUGGGCAUUAACUGACGCUGAGGAGCGAAAGCAUGGGGAGCGAACAGGAUAAGAUACCCUGGUAGUCCAUGCCGUAAACGUUGGGCACUAGGUGUGGGGGACAUUCCACGUUUUCCGCGCCGUAGCUAA